GUUUUCUCCCCUUUCUCUCUCUUCCCGCUUUUUCUAUUCUCAGAUCUCAUCUUCUUCCUCUCCUCUCCCCAAUUCCCCUUCUUCUCAAUUCCUUCCAUUUCCUUUCUCUCUAAAUUCCUCUCCUUCAAUUUCCUCUGAAAACCCCCCAAAAUCAUAGCCACAAGGGCUUCCAAUUCAAUUUGAUUAAUGUUGAAUUGAAAAUCAAAAGAUUUAAAACUUUGGGAAUUUUGUCAGCUGGGUUUUGCUUAAAAAAGAAGAGUAACAGAUCAUGCAGCAGCCACAUCGUCAACAGCGUGAGCUCCCAUUCACGUCGAGUAAACCGCCGCUUGGAGACUACCACCGCUUCUCUACUGACCCACUUCAACAACCUGAAGCCAUCCUUGUUAAGUCUACUCCACUGAAACGGAAGAGUGAAACAGCAAAUUACAAACAGGGAGUUGGUGCGAUAACAGAUUCUGGAUAUGCCGAUGUGAGUAGUCCAACGCAGACACCAGUCUCAGGGAAAGUUGGAAAGGCACAGAAAGUGCCUAGGACAUCAAAGGCCAGAUCUGCUUCUCAAGCUGCUACCUCAAAUAUAGGAUCCCCUUCAGGAAAUAAUGCUACUCCAGUUGGUCCUUGCCGCUAUGACAGCUCCUUAGGUCUCUUAACGAAGAAGUUCAUUAACCUGAUCAAACAUGCAGAAGAUGGCGUUCUAGAUCUAAACAAAGCUGCUGAUACAUUAGAGGUGCAGAAAAGGCGUAUAUAUGACAUCACAAAUGUCCUGGAAGGCAUUGGUCUGAUUGAAAAGAAACUCAAAAACAGGAUCCAGUGGAAGGGUUUAGAUGUCUCAAGACCAGGGGAUGUUGAUGAUAGUGUUACAAGUUUACAGGCAGAAGUAGAAAAUAUGACUAUUGAAGAACGUAGAUUAGAUGAACAGACAAGAGAAAUGCAAGAAAGGUUGACAGACCUGUGUGAAGAUGAAAACAAUCAAAGAUGGCUUCUUGUUACUGAAGAUGAUAUAAAGAGCUUACCUUGUCUUCAGAAUGAAACACUGAUAGCUAUUAAAGCUCCACAUGGCACCACUUUAGAAGUUCCGGAUCCUGAUGAGGCUGUUGAUUAUCCACAAAGGAGAUACAGAAUUGUGCUUCGCAGCACCAUGGGACCAAUUGACGUUUACCUUGUCAGCCAAUUCGAGGAAAAGAUCGAAGAGAUAAAUGCUGUUGAGGCACCAUCAGCCUUGCCUUCAACAUCAGGUUUCAAUGAGAAUGAAACUGCAACAUUGCCUACUGAGGAGAGUGGAGGAGUUGAUGGCAGAAUGGACGAAAAAGAAAAUCAAAGUGUGUGCGCAGAUGUUGGUACUUCGCAGGACUUUGCGAGUGGAAUCAUGAAGAUUGUUUCAGAUGUUGAUAAUGAAGAAGAUUACUGGCUUUUGUCAGAUGCUGAUGUUAGCAUCACUGACAUUUGGAGGGCAGACUCUGUUCUUGACUGGAACGAGUUGAAUGCAAUUCAUGAGGAUUAUUCAAUUGAUAAUGUCAGUACUCCACGUGCCCAAACUCCCCCAUCCGGUACCACUGAACUGCCUUCUGCAAAUACUACUAGGAGCUGAGUAGUAUUUUCCUGGCAUUGCUGUAGAUGCUCAGGCGAUGCUUGUUCUCGUUGCCAUUUUCCAGGUUCUGAAACUGCAAUUACUGGAAGCUUUGCUGUUUAGUGUGGAGUAAUUUGAGCAUGCUAUGGUAAUGUUCACCUCAGCUUGGUCAGGCUACUUGAGAAAAUGAGAUGGUACAAGAAAAAAAGUCCAGAAAUGUAUGCUUUGGGUUAAUAUUGGGCUAGUGUUUGCGUCUUCAACAGAAAUCCUGCCCUAUCACAUUAAGUCGUCCAAAAUCUAUGUUUGGAUCUCUUUAUCAACUUUCAUUCCAAUCCGACUGGUGACAUCUUUAUCACAUUUCUGCAAAUUCCCACCUGCGAACAAUAUGAUUUUUCUUAAGGGAAUUCUGAAAUUUAUGUAU